CAUAGGACCGUUGCAGGCACCAGCUGAUUGGUAGGAGGGUAUGGCACUACGCUUUCAAGGUAUUUUUGCCGGAGCUGGGCCACUCACCUCGGAGGCUCACGGACCUAAGCUAGAUUGGUUGCUCAAUUACCAGAUUCAGAAGUUUGGGUAUCCAGAGACCCAAAUGACUGAGCCUCAGAUCACUC